rnacentral:lncRNA from 1 species
UUCAAAUUUUGUUUUUCCUUCGCUGGGGAAAAGAGCGCUUAAAUAAGUUAUCAACGUGGACCGACGGCCAUGUAAAUGGCAGCACGUAAAUGAAUGAAAUUAUUUUGCAACAAAUUAAGGCAAAUUUAUGCGUCAAGGCGACAGGACAGGGGAUUCGAGAUGGGCGAACAAACAAAAGCGAAAACGGAACAGCACGAGGCGAAACGAAACGAAACGAAACCAACAAACAAACAAACAAUGAAACGAAAAACGACAGCCUCGAAGAGUGAAAAGCGACGAGUUUUCCUUCACCGAAAUCUGAGCAAGGCUUUGUGCAACAAAGUGAAGAACCCGGCUGCCCCUUUUCCGCAUUUACAAAUCCCCCCACCCCUUUAACGGGUCUAACUGCGUCCGCUCUGCACUUGUACACAUCCUGACAUACACAUAUAUAUUUUUUAUUUCCCAGCCAAGUGAGGCUGGAAUCAAAUGUC